rnacentral:tRNA from 2 species
GGUUGUAUGGUGUAGUGGUUAGCACUUCAGAUUCUGAUUCUUCUCGAAUCUUGAGAUUUCUGGCGACUUGGGUUCAAUUCCCAAUACGACCU